rnacentral:lncRNA from 1 species
UUGUUGUAUUACUGCAUGCGUAGUUACGUUGGAAUAAAUGUUGAUGACUGCAUUCUUCUUUUAUUUAAACCAUUGUUGCAUGCUUGACUGGAAAGUACAUCUUGAUGCUGAAAUUAAAACAAGUUAUAUGGCUAUGAAAAACAUUGACAGAAAAAGUAAAACACAAACAAGAUGGACACACAAACAUGAGGGCCUGGACUGGGUAACCCCUGGGUUUACAAAAUAAAGAUUGAUUGUCAAAAAGUGCAGAAAAUGGCAUAAAAUAUAAAGAAUAGAGAAAUAACAUGCCAAAUAAAUAAAGAAUACAAAAUAAUUUGGUGCUAAAAUAUGUCAUUUUAAGAAUAAAGGGUAUAAAAAAAUGAAAUUACAAAAAUACCAAACUCCAAAGAAAAUAACAAAAAUACCAAACUCCAAAGAAAAUUACAAAACUACCAAACUCCAAAGAAAAUUACAAAAGUACCAAACUCCAAAGAAAAUUACAAACUCCAAUUAAAAAAAUACAAAAAUACCAAACUCCAAAGAAAAUUACAAAAAUACCAAACUCCAAAGAAAACAAAAUACACAAACUCCAAAGAAAAUUAAAAAAAGGAAGUCCGUUAUCAGAUCGCAUUAUCAAAAGAAUGGAAACAAAUGGCAUAUUCCUGACUUGGUACAGGCAUUUCUUUAUGUAGAUAAUGGAUUAAUCCUGGUUUUAUAUAGCUAGUACAAAACUUAUACACAAUAGAGUAAAAUGGCUUUAAAAAAAAAAAAAAAAAAAAGAAUUGAAGGACCCUCCCCCUUUUCUAGACCCUCACACAUGUGCAGCAGCAUCACACCACAUAUGUGUAGAAAUAAGCAUGUUUCCUUGACAGUGUAAAAUAAAAAUGUAUUAUCAUAUAUUAAAAAUUAUACCAAGUCGUGUGAUCAAUUUCUGCAUGUGGUUGCCAGGCGUAUGGAACAAAUCAGUAAUAAAAGUAAUAAAAAAAUGGCUGCCAGAACGAAUGAUAUGAAUACAUAUAUAAUGUAUGUAUUGUUCAUUUAAGUUUUAUAGCUGCACAAAAUGUAUUUCCGCUUUGAUCUAUACAAAGUUAUUCAGCUCCUGAUGGAGAUCUAUCAUGCAAUAAAUUAAAAAUUUACAAAUGAUGAUGUACAUAGUCGAUCAAAGUAUGAAAGGAUUUGGAAUAGAUGAUACAUAAAACAAUAGGCCAAGCAAAAUAAUGGGAACGAAUAGAUGAUACAUAAAACAAAUAGCCAAGCAAAAUAAUGGGUAUAAUUUUAU